rnacentral:rRNA from 1 species
AGCGAACGUUGGCGGGAUGUCUUAAGCAUGCAAGUUGAGCGGCAGCACUUCGGGUGGCGAGCGGCGAACUGGUGAGUAACGCGUAGAUUAUCUGCCCUAUGGACGGGGAUAGCUCCUGGAAACAGGGAUUAAUACCCGAUAUGAGUAUACUUGAAAGCGGCGUUUGCCGCACCAUAAGAUGAGUCUGCGUCCCAUUAGCUUGUUGGCGGGGUAAAGGCCCACCAAGGCGACGAUGGGUAGCCGGCCUGAGAGGGUGAUCGGCCACAUCGGGACUGAGAUACGGCCCGG